UUUCCCUCUCCCCACCUUCAGUAAAAAAAAACCUAUCUAAAGCUCAGCUCCGGUUCUCUCUCUUCCUCCCUCAUGCAACACCAACACAUGUCACCUGACGUGGCAUGUGCCUUCUCUCUCUCUGAUUCUUGAGAGUGAUUGCUUGCUAGAACCAGAAAAAAAGACAAUGCUGAGAACGACAAGCUAGGGUUAGGGUUUUUCUUUCGAGUUCCACGGAUUGUUUUUCUGAUAUAUAGAGUUUUAUUUUCCCUUUUGCCAUCUACUUUUAUAUUACAUGGGAAGAAGUGAAGACAUGAUAUCUCCAAAAUCUGAAAAACCAUGUCCAAAAUCAGAAAAGCAUCUCCACCUAAACAGGUUAUGUGUUCUUGAUAUGUUUUUGUUGUGGGAUUAUAUGUCUUUAUCAACAACAAAUGAAUGAUUUUUCUCAUUUUUGUUAAAUACAUGUACAAAUAGUUUAUGAAUUAUGAUUGUAAUAAGCAAACAGUACUACUGUUUAUGUACAAUUUAAUCCAACAUAGAUACAUGGAUGUGUGCCUGCAUGAGAGACAGAGGUCUAUUGCAUUAUUUCUUUGGCGGAUUAACUCUUGGAGUUCAAGAUUUGAAAUUGGACCACCCAUUGGCAUUAGCAGGACCAGACAAACAUUCAUCUCUAUACCGACUAGGCAACUAUUCAGGCAUAUUAUGGGCCUGGAGUACCCAUACCACCAUCAUAUUUGAACUCUGCAGUCAUGGCUUGUCAUGUUCCUCAUCCUCAUGUGUGGGCACCACCACAACAUGUGAUGCCACCGUAUGGGGUGCCUUACUCUGCCAUCUAUUCUCCUGGAGUUGUUUGUACUCAUCGUACAGUUCCUAUUAUUGCAACUCCUGUGAGCGCACAAAUGCUUUCUACUUCAUCAUACAACAUGGAUCAAGGCUCAAUAAAGAAGCUGAAAAGAUUGGACGGAGUUACUAAGCAAGUAGUUAAUGACAAUGCUGAGGUUGAUGGUGAAGGAUCAGCCCAUGGAGCAUCACAGAGUAUUGAUGUUUCCAGUGAUGCAAGUGAUGGUAACACACGAGCACAGCAAAGUCUGAGGAAAAGUGAUUCAAUGGGCAAGCUAUCCACUGACAACAAAGUAAAAGUCCAUAAACAGGCCAGGUCUGUACCUGAAAAGGAUGCCAAUGUAACUUCCAGGUGGAUUUCGAGGAUUAAUGUGGCUCCUGAAGAUGUUGCAGGAAAACUAGUAGACUCCCAAUUGGAAAACAGAAAACAGAGCAACUUGUGUUGCUUCUACUACAGCUGCAGGGUUGCCUUGUGAAGACUGGAAAAAAGAUGAGCGGCAACUGAAACGAGAGAAGAGGAAACACGCUAACAAACAAUCUGCUAGGAGGUCUAGGUUAAGAAAGCAGUUCAAUCUGAUUUUUCUUUUCAGGCUGAAACUGAGGAACUGAUGAAGAGAUAUGAAAUCGUGAAAGUGGAAAACAUAACCCUUAAAUCUGAAAUGAAACAAUUAAUGGAAGAUUCAGAGAAACUUAGGGUUGAGAAUGUUGCAUUGAUGGAGAAUUUGAAUGGCUCAGAAGUUGCACAUCCGGAGAGACGGGUUUAGAUAAUAUUGAAUCAGAAUAGCGGGGAUGGAUUUUUGCUAAAAGACUCAAAUUCUGUCAAGGAAAACAAAAGGAAUGUGAGACCCUUGAGAACUCUAUUUUGAGAUGAAGCUGCAAAUAUUUGGAUCAAGAGCCCAUGCUAUUGCCACAAGCUGAUUCAUAUAUUUUCUCUUGUACUUUUUGACAAAUAGCUUGAAAGCCCCCAAUUCACUUGUAUGAUACAUAGGUUGGAAAGGCAAUUAAAUUACUUCCGAAAGAUCUCUCGAGUUGCAUUUUCUAAGUUUUUAACUAAUCAUGGUGUGGUUAGUUCUUGACUACAAGUAUCCCCGUAGUGUUGUGCGAAUUUUAACAGUUACUUCUGACAACAGGUUGAAAGAAUGCACUUUUCAUUAGCUUAACUUCAAAAUUAGAGAAAUUUAUUUACUUUCAUCAUCUGUUUGGGUAUCCACAAUGUAACAUUUUAUUUUAUUAGAGUUUCUUGUAAAUGCUUACUGUUAUUGAAAUUUGCAGAAAUUUGUGCUUUAAAAUAAUAAUAUAAAAAAAAAUCAUUGCCAACGGGUGAAA